rnacentral:rRNA from 1 species
GACGAACGCUGGCCGCGUGCCUAAUACAUGCAAGUCGAACGAAGCUGUUUUAACUGGUGCUUGCACCGACUUAAACAACUGAGUGGCGAACGGGUGAGUAACACGUGGGUAACCUGCCCCAAAGCGGGGGAUAACAUUUGGAAACAGAUGCUAAUACCGCAUAAUCACAGAAACCACAUGGUUUCUGUGUCAAAGAUGGUUUCGGCUAUCACUUUGGGAUGGACCCGCGGCGUAUUAGCUAGUUGGUAAGGUAAUGGCUUACCAAGGCAAUGAUACGUAGCCGAACUGAGAGGUUGAUCGGCCACAUUGGGACUGGGACACGGCCCAAACUCCUACGGGAGGCAGCAGUAGGGAAUCUUCCACAAUGGACGAAAGUCUGAUGGAGCAACGCCGCGUGAGUGAAGAAGGUUUUCGGAUCGUAAAACUCUGUUGUCAGAGAAGAACGUGUGCGAGAGUAACUGUUCGUGCAGUGACGGUAUCUGGCCAGAAAGCCACGGCUAACUACGUGCCAGCAGCCGCCGUAA